rnacentral:rRNA from 1 species
AAUCAACGCUGGCGGCGUGCCUAACACAUGCAAGUCGAACGCGAAAGGGGCUUCGGCCCUGAGUAGAGUGGCGAACGGGUGAGUAACACGUGGGUGACCUGCCUUCGAGUGGGGGAUAACGUCUCGAAAGGGACGCUAAUACCGCAUGACAUCCUGCCUUUGAAGAGGCGGUGAUUAAAGCUGGGGAUCGCAAGACCUGGCGCUUGAAGAGGGGCCCGCGUCCGAUUAGCUAGUUGGUGGGGUAAUGGCCUACCAAGGCGACGAUCGGUAGCCGGCCUGAGAGGGCGGACGGCCACACUGGGACUGAGACACGGCCCAGACUCCUACGGGAGGCAGCAGUGGGGAAUUGUUCGCAAUGGGCGCAAGCCUGACGACGCAACGCCGCGUGGAGGAUGAAGAUCUUCGGGUCGUAAACUCCUUUCGAUCGGGACGAAUCGGUCGCGACCUAACACGUCGCGGCAUUGACGGUACCGAGAGAAGAAGCCCCGGCUAACUCCGUGCCAGCAGCCGC